AUUGAACGCUGGCGGCAGGCCUAACACAUGCAAGUCGAACGGUAACAGGAAGAAGCUUGCUUCUUUGCUGACGAGUGGCGGACGGGUGAGUAAUGUCUGGGAAACUGCCUGAUGGAGGGGGAUAACUACUGGAAACGGUAGCUAAUACCGCAUAACGUCGCAAGACCAAGGAGGGGGACCUUCGGGCCUCUUGCCAUCGGAUGUGCCCAGAUGGGAUUAGCUAGUAGGUGGGGUAACGGCUCACCUAGGCGACGAUCCCUAGCUGGUCUGAGAGGAUGACCAGCCACACUGGAACUGAGACACGGUCCAGACUCCUACGGGAGGCAGCAGUGGGGAAUAUUGCACAAUGGGCGCAAGCCUGAUGCAGCCAUGCCGCGUGUAUGAAGAAAGCCUUCGGGUUGUAAAGUACUUUCAGCGGGGAGGAAGGGAGUAAAGUUAAUACCUUUACUCAUUGACGUUACCCGCAGAAGAAGCACCGGCUAACUCCGUG
rnacentral:rRNA from 1 species